CUUUCACAUAUGGCACUGCUGUGCCACUCAGCAGGACCUGACCCUGAUUUCUGGCCAAAACUCAUCCUUCUCUGCAAAGUGCCCAAGCUAUAUGAUGGGGUCAUCAAGGAGCUUCAUUUGCUGCACAUGGUGAUCACCUGGAAGCAGGAUUGAUGAGAAAUAGUGCUCUGGGAAAAGUUGGUCAAGUGGCAGGAAAAGAAACGGAACUCAUAUCUUCUGACUGCAAACUUUUUCUCUUUAUCUUAAGGCUCCUAGAGAUAAGUAAGUAAAAGUGAUAGUAACUUGCCUCCGGAAGGAGAUGCCAAUUUUGAGUUGAAGAACAAAAAUCUUUGUUAAAUUUCAAAAGUUUUGAUGAAGGGACACCAUUAACUACUUUGCUAUUUUCAUAUGUUGGCUCUUAACUUUAUUUUGAUGAACUUUCAUUUAGUCCUUUUGAAAGGAAAGUAAUUUAGAUUUCCUUUCUGAAGUGCCUAGUUUUAUUUU
rnacentral:lncRNA from 1 species